CCCUGGAUAGCUCAGCUGGUAGAAAACGAGACUCUUAAUCUCAGGGUUGUGGGUUUGAGCCCCAUGUUGGGCA